AUGAAUUUAGUUGGAAUGAAAUCUUACAUGACCGUGAUCAGGGAAGAGGGUAUAACUGAAGCACAUAUGCCCAAGAUAAGUGACAGGUGAAUUUCACAAUGAGUGUAAGUGUAAGUGUCGCUAUACUUCUCCAUAGGAGUGAACCUUGCUUUAAUAAGCUCCUGGCACAAGUUUAAGCAAUUCAUAUAUAAAUGAUGUAGUACAAACCUCUAUUUUAAGCAAAAUACAUAUUAUGGUGCAGUUUUUCUAUGAGAACUACCACUACCAGAAGAAAGGCUUUAGCCGACGAAAAUAAAAAAACCAGGCCGACUAAUUAUUUUUUCGUCGGCUAACGUGUACUUUAGCCGACAAAAUUUUCCUUCGUCGGCUAAUUUAAAUUUUCGUCGGCUUUGGUCAACUUUAGACGACGAAAUUUUGAUUUCGUCGUCUAAAUAAUUUUUUUCGUCGGCUAUAGUCUGUGAACUUUAGCCGACGAAAUUUUUAAAAGUUUAGCCAACGAAAAAUAUAAUUUCGUCGGCUAAAGUGCCUUAUAUUUACAGAUCUAGACAACAACUCAUCUGGGGAAAAAAAACUAUACAUAGAACCUUCAAACGCAAAAAAGUCGUUAAAUAAGAUAUGACCAGAAUGGUGAAAUACGUCUACGGUUGAAAAAUCACGGUAUUCCGGUAAAAUCUCGGUGCUGAUAGUUGCGGUCAAUGUAAUUUACCCUUAUUAUUCACUAUGCUGUAGAUUUGGUAUUUGGUGUCCGAUUGACUAUUAUGAUACCUUUUCGGAAGCGUAACGGCCGUACGAGUCAAACUUAUUGCUAUGCCAUGACAUAUGGGUUUUUUUGGCCAUCCGAGUCCGUUUAGGGCUUCAAAAUGCAGUUUUCUUAUUUCUGAUUAGAGUUGACCGUUUUGAUCGAGCCCUUAACGUUGUCGAAUCCAGUUGAAUUUUUUACCAUAGACAUCUUUCGUCAUAAUGAUCAUAUCUGAGGGUCGAAUUUUGGUUUGUGAAUUUUAGUCAUCGGAAUCACAACGUGUCUACUAUUUACCGUUAUUAUUCCCUAUGGGGAGCCCUAUCGUCGGAAGGUAAAUGUCUCAAAAUUUUUAUAUGGGCAGUUGCGUCUCAUCUACGUGAGAGUUUUUCGUGUGAAAGGUUUGACCAAACUACGUAAUAUAGAGGGAGAUAUGAGCGUUUUCGUGUGAUAAGUGACGAUGGAUUAGGGUUGACCGUUUCGAUCGAGAGCCCUUAACGUUGUCGGAUCCAGUUGAAUUUUUUACCAUAGACAUCUUUCGUCAUAAUGAUCAUAUCUGACGGUCGAAUUUUAGUUUGUGAAUUUUAGUCAUCGGAAUCACAACGUGUCUACUAAUGUUGUAUAACUUGUUUAGUAGGUUAUACAACUUUGUGAACCAACUCUACAUAGGAAGCAAAAUUAUCAAAAAUAUCGUGAAAUAAGAUGUGUUCAUAAUGGUGAAAUACGGCUAUGGUUCAAAAAUCACGUAAAUCGGGUAACGUCUCGGUGCCGAUAGUAACGGUCAACCCUAUUUACCGUUAUUAUUCCCUAUGGGGAGCCCUACCGUUGGAAGGUAAAUGUCUCAAAAUUUUUAUAUAGGCGGUUGCGUCUGAUCUACGUGAGAGUUUUUCGUGUGGAAUGUUUGAUCAAACUCCGUAAUAUAGAGGGAGAUAUAAGCGUUUUCGUGAAUUUAUAGACUUUAGCCGACGAGAUAUUAAAAAUGUCGUCGGCUAAGGUCAAAAAUUUUUUGGUGGUAAACCAAAUUUGGAGGAAAAUUUUCAAAGGACUUUAGCCGACGAAAAUAAAGGACUUUCGUCGGCUAUUGUCAAAAAUUUUCAACCAAAUUUUCAAACUUUUUUGGCGGUCAACCAAAAUUUUCAAAAGAGUUUAGCCGACGAAAAUAAAUAAUUUCGUCGGCUAAAGUUCUUUAUAUAGGAGUUUUACUGGAGGUGGAUGGUAAGAAGUCAGAAAAUCAGAAAAAGUUCCGGAUUUUCUUCUCGGCCUAGCUCCGCAGUCAAGCCACCGGAGACCGCCACACUUGUCCUAAAAGCUUCGCCGUCAUCUCUACUUCAUUGCUGGACAUGUGGUGCAUCGAGUCGCGCCGCCGUGAGGGAUAAAUCGAGCUCCAAAACUCCGCCGGUUCGGAUUCGGUGUCGAUCGAAUUUCUCCUUCCUCAGGUCACCAUUUGGUGAGUUCUAUAUAUGGAUAAGUUGAGUUUGAUUAGUACUACAUUCUCCUAGAAUUUGGUAGCUCGAUUCGGUGUGUGUGAAGAGAAUCGAAGAUUUGAAGUUUUUAGGGUUUAAAAUUGGGGAUUUUUAUAUUUUGAUUCAAUUGACCUGUUUAGGCUUAGAAUUGGGCUUCGACUUCUUCUAGAAAGUUGUUCGAAAUGUUGAGAGGAAGAUUCUAUCAAAUUUUGGUGGUGAUUGGAGGUGGCCAAAAGUUUCUGCAGUUUUUUUUUUUCUAAAACCAGCAACUUUAGCCGACGAUAUUUAAAUACUAUAUUCGUCGGCUAUAGUAUUUUUAAAUUUUUUUUUAUAAGGUUUAGCCGACGAAUUAUGGCAUGUUUCAUCGGCUAUAGUUAUUUUUUUAAUUUUUUUAUAAGGUUUAGCCGACGAAACAGACUAUAUUUCAUCGGCUAUAGUUAUUUAUUUUUUAUUUUUUAUAAGGUUUAGCCGACGAAACAAACUAUAUUUCGUUGGCUAUAGUCUGGGAAAAAUUUUUUUAUUACAGACUUUAGCCGACGAAUAUCUUAAUUGUUUCGUCGGCUAAAGUCUGGGAAAAAAACCGACGCCAUAUUUUUCGUCGGCUAAACUGUAGGACUAUAGCCGACGAAAUUCUUUUUUUCGUCGGCUAAAGUCAUCGCCGAUGACUUUUUCCCGGCGAAAUCUUAGCCGACGAAUUAAGCUAACAGGCCGACGAAACUUUUUCGUCGACUAAAGUGCUUGUCCUGGUAGUGUACUCACAUUAAUUGAGACCGAUAUCAGUGCUUUCUCUUCCUCUUUGUUGUCAAUAUAGUCUAUCAACCUCUCUCUCAAAAGAUCUUCCCAAACACUUGUCUAAAGAACAACAAAUCUGUAAAUUGAUGUAACCAUAGAAGUCGGUGAAAUUAUUUUGAAGAUUCAGUUUGAUGCUCACCCGACAACAAAAAUAUAAAGCAAAGGCCACACAAAGAGUGUGGCAUUUAGAGGUGUUGCAAUACACACUUGUGUGGCAAUUUUUCCCUCAUCUCCGCUAAUACUCACACUUGUCACACAUAACAAAGAUUGCAACACCUCUAAAUUCUUGUGUGGCCUUUGCUCUAUAUUCUUGUUGUGCUCGCUGCUUUAUUGCUUCUAUAUGUUCUUUCUUUACGAGUAGCCUUAAGUUGUGCCAUAUAAAAAGAUGGAGCACAACAUAGUCAAAUUGCUGGAUGACCAUGUCACAUGUCAAAAUAAAAAUUGACACACUCCAAAUGACUAUAUCAUUGGAGAUGUUGAGAUGCUCUAUAACAUGCUAUUUGGUAUGGG
rnacentral:lncRNA from 1 species